rnacentral:rRNA from 1 species
AGCAGCCGCGGUAAUUCCAGCUCCAAUAGCGUAUAUUAAAGUUGUUGCAGUUAAAAAGCUCGUAGUUGAAUUUCGGGAUCAAUUAAUUGGUCGUGCCUCUGGUACGUACUGAUUUUAUUGGUUUCUCCCUUCUGACGAACCAUGAUGUCAUUAAUUUGAUGUCGUGGAGAAUCAGGACUGUUACUUUGAAAAAAUUAGAGUGUUUAAAGCAAGCUAACGCUUGAAUACAUUAGCAUGGAAUAAUGAAAUAGGACGUUUGAUCCUACUUUGUUGGUUUCUAGGAUCGACGUAAUGAUUAAUAGGGAUAGUUGGGGGCAUUAGUAUUCAAUUGUCAGAGGUGAAAUUCUUGGAUUUAUUGAAGACUAACUACUGCGAAAGCAUUUGCCAAGGAUGUUUUCAUUAAUCAAGAACGAAAGUUAGGGGAUCGAAGACGAUCAGAUACCGUCGUAG